UACAUCACGAAUGCUUUCUCUCAGCCUUUCAGAGGGUGCUUGAAGGGACGGACGCUGAGCAGCAUCACAAAAGAUGAGACUGACUGUAUCUUAGUGGAAAAGAUGGAACUGGCUCCUGACAUAGCCACCAUGUUUGCUCACCUUGUCCACUCAAGCAGUCUUCCUUUAAAACAAAAGCCUCGAGGGAAUCUAGGAAAGUCUUCUGUACCAGAACCCAAAAGGGAUCAUGGCCAAACUCAACCACCCAACUCUGACAUCUAUGGUUGCUGUUCUAAUAUGGAUCCAUGCUUCAGUACUUACAAGAAUCCAUGACUUCAUUGAUGUGGGACCUUUCUCUCCUCUGAGGGAGAGUAGAGCCCUGCCAUGCCUUAGUAGGCAGUCAUCAGGAGCUGCUGUAGCCAGAAAACCAUCAUCACCUGGUAGGCAGCCUUCUGCUGAUGGGCCUCUCUGAACUAAUCUUGGCCGGUCCUUGGAUGACAGACACUAGGCCAAUACUUGAAGCCUAUCCAGCCCUGGGUAGGACCUGCCAGGGCUUGAAUUCUAUGGACAUAACCUACCCAGAAUAGCCUCUGUUCCAUAGUGAGGAAUAAGAGGAGGACUUUGGUGGAGGACAACAUGAUUAUAACAAUCUGAUUUUUUAAAUCAACAAUUAAACUGCUAAUGAACCAUUA
rnacentral:lncRNA from 1 species